UUGGAGGGCAAGUCUGGUGCCAGCAGCCGCGGUAAUUCCAGCUCCAAUAGCGUAUAUUAAAGUUGUAGCAGUUAAAAAGCUCGUAGUUGAAUUUCGGGAUUGACACAUCGGUCGUGCCUUAAGGGGCAUGAACUGGUGUAGUCAAUUUCUCACCUUCUGGAGAACCGCGAUGCCCUUAAUUGGGUGUCGCGGGGAACCAGGACCUUUACUUUGAAAAAAUUAGAGUGUUUAAAGCAGGCAUUUUGCUUGAAUACAUUAGCAUGGAAUAAUAAAAUGGGACGGCAUGAUUCUAUUUUGUUGGUUUCUAGGAUCACCGUAAUGAUUAAUAGGGAUAGUUGGGGGCAUUAGUAUUCAAUUGUCAGAGGUGAAAUUCUUGGAUUUAUUGAAGACUAACUACUGCGAAAGCAUUUGCCAAGGAUGUUUUCAUUAAUCAAGAACGAAAGUUAGGGGAUCGAAGACGAUCAGAUACCGUCGUAGUCUUAACCAUAAACUAUGCCGACUAGGAAUCAGACGAUGUUAAUUUUUUAAUGACUCGUUUGGCACCUUACGGGAAACCAAAGUGUUUGGGUUC
rnacentral:rRNA from 1 species